AGAGUUUGAUCAUGGCUCAGAACUAACGCUGGCGGCGUGCCUAACACAUGCAAGUCGUACGAGAAAGUUGGCUUCGGCCGGUGAGUAAAGUGGCGCACGGGUGAGUAACGCGUGGAUAAUCUACCCCUCAGUUGGGAAUAACUCAUCGAAAGGUGGGCUAAUACCGAAUAAUACUGCAUAACUUCUGUUGUGUAGUCAAAGAUGGCCUCUGCUUGCAAGCUAUCGCUGAAGGAUGAGUCCGCGUACCAUUAGCUAGUUGGUAGGGUAAUGGCCUACCAAGGCAACGAUGGUUAGCUGGUCUGAGAGGAUGAUCAGCCACACUGGAACUGAGACACGGUCCAGACUCCUACGGGAGGCAGCAGUGAGGAAUAUUGCGCAAUGGGGGCAACCCUGACGCAGCAACGCCGCGUGAGUGAGGAAGGUUUUCGGACCGUAAAGCUCUGUCGAGCGGGAAGAAAUGCAUAGUGGUUAAUAUCCAUUAUGCUUGACGGUACCGCUAAAGGAAGCACCGGCUAACUCCGUGCCAGCAGCCGCGGUAAUACGGGGGGUGCUAGCGUUGUUCGGAAUCAUUGGGCGUAAAGAGCGUGUAGGCGGCUGGAUAAGUCAGAUGUGAAAGCCCUGGGCUUAACCCAGGAAGUGCAUUUGAAACUGUUCAGCUUGAGUAAGGGAGAGGAAAGUGGAAUUCCUGGUGUAGAGGUGAAAUUCGUAGAUAUCAGGAGGAACACCGGUGGCGAAGGCGACUUUCUGGCCCUAUACUGACGCUGAGACGCGAGAGCGUGGGUAGCAAACAGGAUUAGAUACCCUGGUAGUCCACGCUGUAAACGAUGUUCACUAGGUGUUGGGGGUAUUGACCCUCUCAGUGCCGCAGCUAACGCAUUAAGUGAACCGCCUGGGGAGUACGGUCGCAAGAUUAAAACUCAAAGGAAUUGACGG
rnacentral:rRNA from 1 species